rnacentral:rRNA from 1 species
AAAUUGAAGAGUUUGAUCAUGGCUCAGAUUGAACGCUGGCGGCAGGCCUAACACAUGCAAGUCGAACGGUAACAGGAAGCAGCUUGCUGCUUCGCUGACGAGUGGCGGACGGGUGAGUAAUGUCUGGGAAACUGCCUGAUGGAGGGGGAUAACUACUGGAAACGGUGGCUAAUACCGCAUAACGUCGCAAGACCAAAGAGGGGGACCUUCGGGCCUCUUGCCAUCAGAUGUGCCCAGAUGGGAUUAGCUUGUUGGUGAGGUAACGGCUCACCAAGGCGACGAUCCCUAGCUGGUCUGAGAGGAUGACCAGCCACACUGGAACUGAGACACGGUCCAGACUCCUACGGGAGGCAGCAGUGGGGCAUAUUGCACAAUGUUCGCAAGCCUGAUGCAGCCAUGCCGCGUGUAUGAAGAAGGCCUUCGGGUUGUAAAGUACUUUCAGCGGGGAGGAAGGUGUUGUGGUUAAUAACCGCAGCAAUUGACGUUACCCGCAGAAGAAGCACCGGCUAACUCCGUGCCAGCAGCCGCGGUCAUACGGAGGGUGCAAGCGUUAAUCGGAAUUACUGGGCGUAAAGCGCACGCAGGCGG